AUUGAACGCUGGCGGCAUGCUUUACACAUGCAAGUCGAACGGCAGCGCGGGCUUCGGCCUGGCGGCGAGGGGCGAACGGGUGAGUAAUACAUCGGAACGUGCCCAGCAGUGGGGGAGAGCUCGGCGAAAGCCGGAUUAAUACCGCAUACGACCUGAGGGUGAAAGCGGGGGAGCUUCGGACCUUGCGCUAUUGGAGCGGCCGAUGGCAGAUUAGCUAGUUGGUGGGGUAAAGGCCUACCAAGGCGACGAUCUGUAGCUGGUCUGAGAGGACGACCAGCCACACUGGAACUGAGACACGGCCCAGACUCCUACGGGAGGCAGCAGUGGGGAAUUUUGGACAAUGGGCGAAAGCCUGAUCCAGCAAUGCCGCGUGUGUGAUGAAGGCCUUCGGGUUGUAAAGCACUUUUGGCGGGAACGAAAAGGACUGUGCCAAUACCACGGUUCGAUGACGGUACCCGCAGAAUAAGCACCGGCUAACUACGUG
rnacentral:rRNA from 1 species